ensembl:lncRNA
AUUACAUUUGCAUUGGGGUUGAAAACUGUGAUCUGAUUGGUUACAGCGGCACUAUGGGUGGAGCCAGUUAUCUGAUUGGUUACAGUGGCACCGGAGCCUGUGAUCUGAUUGGUUACAGUGGCCAAUCAGAGCCUGUGAUUUGAUUGGUUACAGCGUCACUGUGGCCUGUGAUCUGAUUGGUUACAGUGGCCAAUCAGAGCCUGUGAUUUGAUUGGUUACAGCGUCACUGUGGGUGGAGCCUGUGAUCUGAUUGGUUACAGUGGCACCGGACUCUGUGAUCUGAUUGGUUACACUGGCACUGUGGGUGGAGCCUGUGAUCUGAUUGGUUACAGUGGCACCGGAGCCUGUGAUCAGAUUGGUUACGGUGUCACCAUGGGUGGAGCCUGUGAUCGGAUUGGUUACAGUGGCACCGUGGGUGGAGCCUGUGGUCUGACAGGUUACGCACAUUUUUGUAGUGGUGGGUCUUUUCUGGUCCUGAAGGCGGGAUCGGCGCGUACCCCUUGUUCUAGUCAAGAGCUGUACUGCUAGCCAGCGAACUCUGACUUUAAAACAAGCAUGAACCUGAGGAACCUUCACUACAGGAAGUGUGGUAUAACUACACCAUCAGCUCCAACCAGGAGUGCAUCUACACACCGAGGCGUGGGGUACUAGCAGAGUGACACCACCAACAGCUCACACGUACCACAGACUUACAGACGGUUAUCUGACGAGGACACGCACAAAUAUUCAUAUAGGAGCUCAUUAAGCUGUCAAAAUACACUCUAGUGCAAACCUUGGGUGUGUAUUUAUAUAAGUCAUUAUUCGACUGAAACUCUACUCUCUCACACACACACAUCUGCUUUCACACACACAACUCGCCUGACCCAGCAAUCCUCACGCACAUUUCAUCCCGUUAGACGAUGAUUUUUUUUUAGCUCGACUUCUAAGUGUCGCAGAUGUGUCCGUGGAGCUCCGGUAAUAAACACUGUGAGGGGAACUUCCAGGCUAGGUGGGGUCGCCUGCUGGAAACAGAAUGACCCAGUUAAUGGCAAAGCGGUGGCUGUAUAACACCAGAGUCAUGAGCACUAGCACGCAGAGCCUCCGGAGUACAAAGGCCUCCACAGAAUAUCGGAAACUUAAUAAGGGCGCGCUCGGCCACGUGUGAACGUCUGAUAACUCGCUCCUGUCUCGGCGCUUUAAUCUGCACAUCCCAGACGCUGCUUCUGUGAGCCAUCAGAAAGUCAAACCUAUGUCAGGGACGUUACCAUAAGCGUAAAUGUAUAUACACAUAUACACACACACACACACACACUCCAAUGCUGAACUAUAUAUAUAUAUAUAUAUAACCGUAUAAAUAUAAAGUCAUCACGACGAGUGAAGAUGGGGAAGAUCACAACGGGGAAGUCGGAACCGUCCGGAAUAUCGACGUUCACGUCGGUUGCGUUGUUGAAUUAAUACGACUCGUAGUGACUACCGUCGCACCGUAGUUUACUCCUAGCAUCGCGAGUUACGUUUUUAAAUAACGGUGAGAAUAUCUCGCUCUAACGUAUUAAAACACAGAGUAGGGAAAGUUAAACGUACGACAUGUUACUACGACAUUAUUACGGUUGCUAGGCAACUAGGUACCAAGGACCAAGACAUGUUGCUACACUGUUACAAUUUAGCGAGCUAGCACAUUAGGGUGUGUUGGUUAAUUAGUGAGAAACGACUCGACUGCGCCGUCUUUGCGCUUAGCCGCGUUAAAGUCACGUAAACGUUAGCAGUAAUCGACGAGUCCUUUGUGCACUGGAGCAAGAACGGUAGUGAAAAUAUUUCGAUAUCUUUUUAACAUCUAAAGAAUAUAAACGUUUACCCUGGCGCAUAGAGCACUGAAAAUAUCGUUCCUAUUGUUCGUGAGAUAUCCCGGCGUAUAAAUCACAGCCCAGCUCCGUCGAAAACAACACCGGAGAUCAAGACAUCGCGUAAACAUGCUAAAAUUAAAUCACCAGACAGUCUGGAGUACACCAGACAGUCACACGGAGUAGACUAGACACCGUGACUGGCUAGCGCUCGUACGAAACGUCGGCCAUUUUAAAAACGAUGCACAGAAUUCGUUUGAAUAUUCCUCAUUCGUUGACGUUUUAAAAAAAAAAUCUUUUAUUUGUCUUGCGAUGCAAAGCGUACGUUAUGACGCAACGAAAAAGUUCAAUGUAGCGUCCAACUUUACGCGUUGUUUAAUUAUUUGAUUACGUUAUCUAGGCAUACGGCUACAUCCUCAGGCUAGUUCAACUAAUAAGCAUGUUAGCUAGCUACUAAAUAAGCUACGGUUUUACGCAAUAAAAACUGUACGGAUUAAACCAAGAAUUAUUAACAUGACACGAUGGGACGUUCCUUAAUCGUUACAAUCCCGUAAUCAUUAAAUCUCUGUUGAACUCCGGACUCUGAUUGGUUCGGAAACGGUGCGGAUUCAUUUCUAAAACGACGUAAUACGUUAUCGUUUCCAUAGUAACAGCUCAUCUGUACGGGACCGGUACGGCGUACGCUCUGCUGUAAAGCAAUUAUUAGUACAGAAAAAUCGCCGAUACGGUGACGGCUGUCUGUAAGGAGGCGUCUAUGUAAUAUUUAUAUAUGGAAGGAGUCUCCAGUGUCAGUCAUAGAGGUAAAGCUGUAACUUGCGAACAAGCUGUGAGGUUUUAUCGGCAUCAUUGACUUCCGAUCGGCCGUUUGUAGUGGCCGUGAGAACAGGAACGAACGCGUUUCCGCGACGUAGCUAUAAACGGAUAAAAAAUGUACGACGGGGUGUUCUUUAAUAAGUUAAAGAUUUAUUCUGUACGAAACACUGCACGUCAGCGGAAAUUCUACCGUCGUAUACGCGUAAUAAACCGCUUCGAGACGGUCAGAGUGACCACCCUGUCGUUGAUUGUUUUCCCUGAACAGUGCGACACAGAGAGUCCCUAAAAGUAAACCGAGGUGUAAUCAGUGUCGUGACGAUGUAGUGUUUAUACUACAGAUCAGAAUCUGGAUCACGGAGCCUAACCGGUCGGGUAAUUGAUGUUAAUUUGCACGCGUGGUUGGAGAUCCCGCUCCGACAAGACAAGGCGGUGCGGCGUUGCCAUGCGUGCACGGCCUGCUCAUCAGCCCCGGCGUGCGUGGUUCCUGCUGCCCCCUACGAAAAGAUCCAGGCUUCUCUCACCUCUCUGUGGGUUAAACAAACACUAAUCUGCUUUAAGACGGUAUCAAAGAUGAUGUCUGACUUUAAUUCACUACUCUGCUCUCAACGUUCAUCAGGGACUGAGAUAUAAAGCCACUUACUUAUUUAAAAUCCCCAGAUUGAACACUUUUCAGAGAUUAAAACAGUGCAUGCAUGUAUCCAAAUAAAUAUAAAAAGAUCAAAUCACGCACUUUAACAAGAAAACUUGCACUUAGAUAAUUGUGUUAUCGAAAUCACAAACUGGAUAAACAUCAGGUCGAUAUCUAUAUUAUACAAGUUAUAUAUUUAUACAGUGAUACACUUUCUCUCUUUGUAAAUUUAACAAGCUUUAAACGUAAUAAAACGUCAACAUUUACGCUUCUUUAAUAAUGAUGAAAUCCAACAUUACAGCUCCUAUCGUUUUUAAAUAAACCACAUACAGAAAUGUAUACUGUACUGUACGCACAGGUUCAAAACAUGCCUUGGCAAACAAUGGCUACACGCUAGUCCAGGUUAGCGUACUGCCCAAGUCCAAAUCACCGCUCGCACCCUACACACGCGCGCUAUCUAGUGUACAUAAACAGGGUUUUAGUGGCUUCACGUGCGCCCUACAUAGUGCACUUACAUAUGAACGUGGACCGGUUUGGACGACUCGUGAACAUAGUGACGACAAAAGUAAAAGUUUAUCACGGCACCCAGGGGCUGACGUGACGCGUUAUGUUUUAGAUUAGAACUUCAGAACUUCACGCUGGUUCAGAGCUUAUUAAACAAGAACUUUAAUGUGGCAUUUUAAGACAGUGACAGAUAGAUAAAUAUAUAUAUAAAGUUACUCACCAAAAGCAAACAUCUUUCCAAGCUGACCGAAUGGUCGCACAACAUCCAAAAACUCAACCUGGUGCUUGUUUGUUUGUUUGUUUACUACAUAUUGUGCUAAAAGGUUAAAAAGAGAAAAAAAAUUCCACACAUACACACACACACACAAACACACACACACACACUCACUCACUCACUCACACACUCACUCACUCACUCACACGUACGCUGCUAUGUUAGUUUAUUGCUGCAUGUUUCCUACUAAACAUUCACACACACACUGGAGUCAUAGCUCUAAUGUGCGGAGUAGAGACUCGGAUCAACCAUUCGCAUCUCCGAGCGGGGGUGUGCUUUUUAAUCAAGAAGUCCGAUUUCUAAAUAAAUCCAACACAAUGUGAUAAUACAAGACAAUAUCAUCGACUAAACUUCCAGUGUCAUACGUUUUGUAUAUAAAUAUUCGAGUUGUAAUACGUACUUGGAAAAAAAUAAUCGCACAGAACAGACACACAACCCUGUCCUAGUGGUACAGUCUCACCGGGAAA